UCAUUACAGAGUUUUCCAACUCCCACCCUUGCGAACCGUACAGUUGUUCUCGUUGCUUUUUGGCGGGGGAGGGGAAGCAUAGCGACCCUUUCCGCGCCGGGGGCGGCGGGCUCUCUGAACUAUUUACAAAAUCAUAUAUCUGAGCAUAUUUUACAAUAUAUUAAAACUUUCAACAACGGAUCUCUUGGCUCUGGCAUCGAUGAAGAACGCAGCGAAAUGCGAUACGUAAUGUGAAUUGCAGAAUUCAGCGAACCAUCGAAUCUUUGAACGCACAUUGCGCCCGCCAGCAUUCUGGCGGGCAUGCCUGUCCGAGCGUCAUUUCCCCCCUCACGCGCCCCGUUGCGCGCUGGUGUUGGGGCUUCCUCCGCCUGGCGGAGGGCCCCGAAAGCGAGUGGCGGGCCUGGCUGGAUGGCUCCGAGCGCAGUACCGAACUUUGGUUCUUUUUCUCGCUCGCGAACCCCGCCGGUGCCCAGUCAGAAUGGCGCAUGACGUGCAACUUUUUUCUAGGUU
rnacentral:rRNA from 1 species